AAACGAGAGAGAGAGACAGACAGACAGAGAGGGGGAAGGAAAUGGAGAGAAUGAGAAAGUACAGAGACAAGAAGAGAGGAAAUCGAUCACGGAAGAGACUGUCUUCCGUCGUCUACGCCGGUCGUCGGCCGGCGGCCAUAAGAAAGUCCGUCGUCCCUAAUCAUCCGUUUUAGAAGAAGAUCGAGAGAAAGGAGAAAAACCAACGCUUUGCCCGGCCUUCGUUCGUUCUGCUCUGCUCUGCUCUGCCCACCGGACCCCUGAUAUCAACUAUGUCGAUGCAUUGUUAUUUCACUUGCUAUCCAUUACUGUUUGAACCUUGCCGAGCUUAAUAUUUUAAUUCCUUCCUAUGUGAGGACUUUGAGCCUAGAGCAUUCGAUAUUUAUAUAUUUUUUGUGUGAUGUUAGAUCUAAAUUGGCAUUCUAGAACUUGCCUCGAAAUGCAUGUUGAACACACAUGAGGACCUGAUAUAAGUAAGAUGACGGGGGCAUUAGGUAUACCUACUUGGCUUAAAUUAUCCUACCCAAAAAUUUUAUCCACUAGUUAACACUGUUGAGCCUUUUGAAAACCUUUUCAUUCUUCAAUUAAUCAUUAAUCCUUUAGCCAUAUACCAUUUUUUGGAUUUAUACCUUAUAUUGAUCCUUGUGUCGAAGGAAGAGUGGAAGUUUUAUGGCUAUCAUUUAUAUUCUUCUUGUAUAAAAUGUAGAAAGGGAAAGUAUAGUGUUGUUGAUGUUUACAAAAAAGAAAAUAAAACAAAGGGGCUAGACCCCAACAAAACAAAAAAAAAAAAAAAAAAAAAAAAAAAAGCAAAACAAAAAACAAAGUGCUGAAACAAGAAAACAAAAAGAAGCAGCACAAAAAAGUAAAAAAAAAAAAAACAAAAAGAAACAAAAAUGAAUGGAGUUACGGUUACCAAUGUAAUGUUGAUUUCAGUUCUUACAAGUGAUAUGCUUUAAUUCUUUCCAUUGUUGUUUCGACACUUUUUAGCCGUUCAUGAUCCUUUUUUCUACCUAUACCCCGAGCCCCAUUACACCUGUUUAAAGACCCCCUGAUACUUGUCAUUAGGUCCCUUAAGUGAGGGAGAUAUGAUUGACAUGCAAGCCUAUGGGAUUGUCAUUUUAAUGAUUUAACUUGAGUGCAUACACUAACCCAUGGUGAGGUUUGUUGAGCUCAGCUUGGUUCACUAAUUAUUAUUAUCCAUUUAGCUGUGAUGCCGGGUGAAAGAUUGGAGUGCAUUGGUCAAGUACCACAAUGGAAAUGCACUGCCUACUCAAAGAAAUGAACAACAAGAAGGAGAAAAAAAAAAUCAGAAAAAAAAGAACUGAAAAAAAGGAAAAAAAAAAAAAAGAGAAAAAAGAAAAAGAAAAGCAAAAAAAGAAAGUCAAUCAAAGUGCAGAUGUCAAACCUGUUGGUGGCUGUGAAAGAAAACAUGAAAACAAACAAAGGAACUCAUUAGGUCAAAACAUCCUAUGUCGGCCUUCAUCUACUCACACAAGUGCCAAGCUGCAUUAAUUGUAGAAAAUAAGAACAUUGUGGAGGUUUUGAAGACCGUCGGUGAGGGUUGGACAUGCAAUACUUACCCCAAAAAAGUAAAAUAAAUAAAAGAAGAAAAGAAAAAAAAAAUGAAACAAAAGAGAAAGCCAAUCCAAAUGCUCACUUCAUAGAGAUGUCAAACUUUUUUGGGGCAAAAUGGAAGACAAUUAAUGAAGUCGUGAAGGAAAACAAGAAAACUAAAUAGCAAGGAAAAGGACAUAUUAAAGCCAAAACAUCCUAUGUCAUGUCUGAACUACAUUGAUUGAAGAGAAUAAGAACAUUAUUGAGAUUGUGUCGGUGAAGAAAGGACAUGAAGAAUGUGCUUAAUAGUACGGUCUGGCUAUUCUUUUGAAGUUGAGAAGAGAUAUUCAUCCUCUUUUGGAUGCCAAAGCUGAAAAGAAGGACCCAUUACGGCCGAAACAUCCCAUGUUGGCCUUCAUCUACUCGAACAAGUGCCGAGCUACAUUGAUUUUAGAGAAUAAGAACAUUGUGGAGGUUUUGAAGACCGGCAGUGAGGGGUGGACAUGCAAUACUUACCCAAGGAAAGUAAAAUAAAUAAAAAAGAAGAAAAGAUAAACAGCAAAGAAAGCCAAUCCAAAUGCUCACUUCAAAGAGAUGUCGAACUGUUGGGGGCAAAAUGGAAGACAAUUAGUGAAAUCGUGAAAGAAAACAAGAAAACUAAAAUAGGAUGGAAAAGGACAUAUUAAAGCCAAAACAUCCUAUGUCAGGACUCCAUCUACUCGAACAAGCGGUGAGCUACAUUGAUUGAAGAAAAUAAGAACAUUGUUGAGAUUGUGCCGGUGAAGAAAGGACAUGAAUAAUGUGCUUAAAAGUACGCACCACAAUGGACAUGCAGUGCCUACCCAAAAAAACGAAUAGAAAAAAAAAAUUCUGAAUAAAAAGAAUAGUUAAAAAAAAAAGAAAUGAAAAGAAACAGAAAAAAGAAAAAGAAAAGAAAAAAGCAAAAACUUUUGAAGAAACAGAAAGAGAAAAAAACAAAAGAAUAGAAAAAAAAGAAAGUUGUGAAAGAAAACAAGUGUCGAGCUACAUUGAUUUUAGAGAAUAAGAACUUUGUGGAGGAAGGAAAAAUACCCGUUAAAGCCGAAACAUCCUAUCUCAGCCUUCUUCUACUCAAACAAGUGGCGAGCUAUAUUGAUUGAAGAGAAUAAGAACAUUGUCGAGAUUGUGAAGAUGUGAGGGAUGGACAUGAAGAAUAUGCUUCAAAAGUAUGGUUUUGCUACUUUGUUGAAGUUGAGAAGAGAUAUUCAUCCUCUUUUGGAUGCCAAAGCUAAAAAGGUAAGUGUUUGGGCAGGAGAUGGUUUAUCGUUGGCCUUAUUUUGUGUUACAGUUUGCAAGUUUGUGCUUUUUUGGUUGUUGUUCUUACUGUAUUAUUUUGCAAAGAGAUCAAUAAAAAAGGUUGAAAAAAAGAAAAGAAAAAAAAAGAAAAGAAAAGAGCUGGAAAAGGGGAAAUUUUUUUGAAAAAAACGGAAACAAAGAUGAAAAAAUUAAGAAAAAAAAAAAAAAGAAAAAUGAAAAAAAAAAGGAGAAAGAGAAGAAAAAAAUUGAAAAAAAAGCCAAUCAGAUGUUGACCUUAAGGAGAUGGGGAACCUGCUGGCGGCAAAAUGGAAAACAAGUCGCGAAAGAGAACAAGAAAACAAAGAAGAAAAAGAACUCAUUAAGCAGGAACAUCCUAUAUCACACUGAUUUCAGAGAACAAGAAUAUUUUGGAGGUUGUAAAGACAGCUGGUGAGGUUGGACAUGCAGGACUUACGCAAGGAAAAAAAAAAACGAAAAAAGAAGAACUACAAAGAGAGAAGGGUCAAUGCUGAAAUGUUGCGCACUUAUGCUAUUGACCUGCUGACUGCAUGCUUGGAGAAUGGUGGUCAGUUAGUGGAAGAUGUGUUGACAUAAUGUGAUAUCUACGAGUACGGUUAACACAAACCAAAAGCUUCUAAGGUAUUGUUUGACAACAAAAGUGUGUCUAGCAUGGCUCUAAAGGCCAAAGAGGGUGGCAGGGGUAAGUCAAAGCAAGUGACAGAGAGUUUUCACAUGGAUACUGAGACUAUCAGAGCCCAUCCCACUGAGAGUGAACGUGAAAAAGAUCGCACAUCUAUGGACAACCUUGAUUGAGAUGAUGAGAGGUGUGGCAAUAGGCAAACAUAUGGGGAUAUGUACUGGGGUGAUGAGGAACAUCUUGAUAGUGUAGCUCCUGAGGUUGAUGCAUAUGAUGCUGAAGCAGAUAGUGACGAGAAGUGGGAUCUCUGCCAGUCAAAAGAAAAACCUGGUGGAAAAUCUCAUGGGGAAGAAGACUUUGAAGGAGUAUCGAUCGCGAUCAAGAGGUAGGUCCAAUGAAGGAGUUUCUGAGACAUUACUGAGUUGGUUAUGAAAGCAGUCGGAGCUGCUGAGCCGAAGCAAGAACAGACCAUGCACCUGCCUGUGCCAUUAAGGCUGCAGGUGCUGCUGCUGCUGAGGUCGUUAAGACAGCUGAUUAGAGUGCAGGAAUACAAGAAGACGAAUGACGAAGAAGCUAUUGUGGUUGCUGCAUCCAGAUCUUCAUCACACUGUUAUGGAUGCUGCCAGUGCAGUUGCUCUUGCAAGAAUUCAAAGCCAUGAAUUUGCUGAAUUUUCUAUUCCUGGUGGUCAUUCCCUUCUGAAGUUGAGAGAGAAAUUCUGUAUCCAGUGUCUGGUGUUUAUUGGGGAGUAUGUUGAAGUUCUUGGUUCUGUACUCCAUGAGAAGGAGUAAAUGUAUGCCUUGCACUACUGCAGCGAAGUCUUAAGCUCGAAGAAACACCCUACACUAAAUUCCUUAUGAAUGAACUUUGAAGCUAAUAUGUGCAUUGGCUGCUCACAGAAAGUUUUCUGCAUUGUUUGUUGAUUGCGGUGGCAUGGACAGACUCCUUGCGACUCCUAGAAAUGCCCAUACAUAUGUGGGUCUUUCUUCCUGCUUAUGAACUAUUGGGUCAAUUCAGGUGAUAAUGAAGUGUGUUUGUUCUCUUCCGCCAAAUAUUGUCCAUCAGAUUGUUAAGUUGGCUGGAACUGCGACAAUAAUUCAGGGCACAUCUCCUCUUGCUUGUGGAUUCUAUUCAACCUAACGAUGGUGAUGGCUAUGAUGAACCUGAGAUUGUUGAACCAGCAUUGAAUUUGUUAAUAAAUCUUGUGUGCCAUCCUUCAUCAAUAAGCAAUAAGCCAAGUCUCAUGCAAGGUCAGCAAUACGGAAAUCAAUCUGCUAUGAACUCCAGGGACAAAUUCAGAGAGGAAUUUCCCAGAGCGUGGUCUAAAUCAGAAUGAAUCAAGGGUUCGAACUGGGGAACUGACACCUAUGCCAUCAUCUGUUGGUAACACUUCAUCAUCACAGGAAUCUGCUUCAUUAGUUGCUUCUGGUUUAGUUGGAGAUCGCAGGAUUUCGUGCUUGGCUUGGUGCUCAGCUUGAACAAGGAUAUCGUCAAGCUAGAGAAGCUGUUCGUGUAAAGCAUGCUUCUUCAGCUUCUCCAACCUCGAAUGGUGACAUCCCCUGCAGCUCUUGAUUGUCUUCGUGCUCUUACAUGCCGAGUACUUUAGCAGCUAGUGAUGCAGCGACUCCCACUUUGAGACCAUUGAAAGAGGAGCAGCCAUUGCUGCUGCUACUCCAGUUUCUUAUCAUUCUAGGGCUUAUCCAUGAGCACCUUCAAUUAUCUGGAUUAGGUUAUCACCAAUGCCAUCCUUGGAUGCUCCAUCAUCUUUAGCACAACACGCAUCUGGGCAGGAGUUGUCAUCAAUACAAAUAGAAUGGCCAUCUGAAAUAGCAACUUGUGGAUUCUUGUUGGAUAGACCAAACUGGUGAACAUACACUCAGACCAUAUGGAUUCGAACUUGUUAUGCACACCAUCUGUUGAGAGUUUGCUAACCAGUCCGACCUAUUUAUCCUCAUGUCUGCCCUGAGCCAAGCAUUCAAUGUUUGCAUCACUGCCAUCAGAUUCAUCCCGGCGUUAAAUCCUUGUGUACGAUGAUAUCCAGUCUUGUCAAUUGGAUCUGACACUGACUGAUACUUCUAAUAACCCGUCUGGACAUGAUCAUGGAUGUGAUCAUUCAUAUUGACUCAAUGCUGCUUUGGAAUGGAGUUUUGUGGGAUCGCAAGACCAAUUCAUCGAUUUUAUCAAUUUACUGCCUAUGAUGGUGGGGGCUACCAUUCUGCUGGGAAUGAGAUUGUUGAACCAGCGUUGAAUUUGUUAAUAAACCUUGUGUCAUGAAUAAGCAAUAAGCCAAGUCUCAUGCAAGGUCAGCAAGCUUCUUCUACCCAAGCUGGAAUCAAUCUGCUAUAAACUCCAGGGACAGAAAUUCAGAGAAGAAUGUCCCAGAGGUGGUCCAAAUCAGAAUGAAUCAAGGGAUCAAACUGGGGAACUGACACCUAUGCCAUCAUCUGUUGGUAACACUUCAUCAUCACAGGCAUCUGCUUCAUUAGUUGCUUCUGGUUUAGUUGGAGAUCGCAGGAUUUCAUGCUUGGACAAGGAUAUCGUAAAGCUAGAGAAGCGUUCGUUCAAGGCAUGGUAUAAAGGUUCUUCAGCUUCUCCAAUCUCGAAUGGUGACAUCCCCUGCAGCUCUUGAUUGUCUUCGUGCUCUUACAUGGAGUGCUUUUAGGUUGAUGCUAUUGCACAUAUAUUGACCGAACUUCAGGUUUGGAAAAGUUUUCAAAGCUCAUCCGAGUGGGAGCCAAACCGCCAGUGGUGACCAAAAUAGAUGGCAGGCGGAAUUAACUCAAGUGAGCUUAUUGGGCUUAUCCAUGAGCACCUUCAAGCAUCUGGAUUAGCUGAGAGUGCAUCUUUGCUAAGUUAUCACCAUUGGCUGCUCCAUCAUUUAGCACAACACACAUCUGGGCAAGAGUUGUCAUCAGUACAAAUGCAAUGGCCAUCUGAACGAGCAACUUUUCAGGAACACCAUCAGUGUCUACUGGGAAAUCAAGUGGCGAUCCAGACAAUCCGAGAAGAACUCCAAUAGUGUUGCCAAUGAAACGGAAAAACAGACAUGAAAGAAAAUGGGUUUGGAUCAUCGGUAAAACCGGUGAACAUACACUCAGACUACCUGGUUUUUCAACACCGAAUUCUGCUUGUAGAAGUGGUCUGCAGGUGGAUUCGAACAUACAUUUAAGGCGAGGAAGACGAUGAUGAUAGUGGCAGUGAGGUUCUUGAAUCUUUCAGCAGUGACUAUCUUCUGUGAUCGAUCCUUCUUAAAGCUGCAAUCCUACAGCUGAAGAUGCUCACACUUUUACGAUAAACCUCAUGAGAAUUGGUUGAAUCAAGAACAACAUCGUGAGGGGCAAGGCUAAUAAACCAAACCCGAUGAGAAUUGGUAUGUAGCUUUCUUUCAUUUUAUUGAGAUUAAAUUGAUGUCUGAUAUCAAAUUGAUGUGUUUUCACUCUGGUGAGGUUAAAUCAAGAACAAUCAUGAUAAGAAUUGGUUGAAUCAAGAACAUCAUCUUGAGUAGAGGGAAGUAUUAGAGGCCAAAUCCGACAAGAAUUGGUUGAAUCAAGAACAGCAUUGUGAAGUUAAAUGGGCAAGGCAUACGGACCAAUCAUGAUAAGAAUUGGUUGAAUCAAGAACACAACAUCAUGAGUAGAGGGAAAGAUUAUAGGCCAAAUCCGACAAGAAUUGGUACGCAUUUUUCUUUCUUUUUGUUGGAAUCAGUGCUAGAUUUUUCAUUUUGUUUUCUCUUUAUUGAGGUUGAAUCAAGAACAAAAUUGUGAUGUUAAAAGGGCAAGGCAUACAGACCAGACCAAUCAUGAUAAGAAUUGGUACGUAAUUUUCUUUCAUUUUGUUGAGACUAAAUAGUAUUAUAUUUUUUUCAAUUUGCUGGGAUCAAAUUGAUGUGUUUUCUCUGUAUUGAGGUUGAAUCAAGAACAACAUUGUGAUGUUAAAGGGGCAAGACAUACAGACCAAUCAUGAUAAGAAUCGGUUGAAUCAAGAACGACAUCGUGAGUAGAGGAAAGGAUUAGAGGCCAAAUCCGACAAUAAUUGCCGUUGUGCCAACACACGGACGACAAUCUUCCACCUCUAUCAUCUUAAGGCUUUUGAUGUUCCUGGAAUCUCGCGCAAUUUGUAACAGUGUCUGAUAACCAGGCGCUCCAGUUUUGGGAAACGGCGAGAGUUGGCUCCCCACACCUCCAUGUCCAAGUCUUCGGGGAGGCUGAUUGCCAAGCAAUGCAACGGACUACCGCUGGCGCUUGUGGUGAUCGGAGGUAUUCUUGUGGACUACACGUCGCAAGAAAUGAGCGCAAUCCGUGCGAUGGCCCAGGACGCCGGGGUCCUCCCUCUCCAACUCGGUCGAGUCAUUCCUGGCGGACGAAUGCUAUAGAGAUCUGAAAAGGACUCGGUAACUAGUCUGAACAACGACGCUUCCCGCCCUUCGAACCGUUGCUACGUGGUAUUCCCUUCUGCUUUGUAGUAGUAAAGGGGAAGAUAUGUCUCUCGAGCCUUUAUUGUUUAUUGAAGGAAUAGGGUUUUGGUUUGGUCAAGAACGGUUGGUUCGCGAGAAUCCUGGCUUCGUUGUAAAAGCCUAUCCGGCUGAAAGGCUGAAUCUUAGCUUAGUAAGACACCGCCUUUACUGACUCAUCCAUUCUCCUCUCGGAUAAUGUGAGCAAUUACGUGAAAAA